AUUGAACGCUGGCGGCAGGCCUAACACAUGCAAGUCGAACGAGUGGUGGACGGGUGAGUAAUGUCUGGGAAACUGCCUGAUGGAGGGGGAUAACUACUGGAAACGGUAGCUAAUACCGCAUACCAUCGGAUGUGCCCAGGUGGGAUUAGCUAGUAGGUGGGGUAACGGGUCACCUAGGCGACGAUCCCUAGCUGGUCUGAGAGGAUGACCGACCACACUGGAACUGGUACACGGUCCGAAUUCCUACGGGAGGCAGCAGUGGGGAAUAUUGCACAAUGGGCGAAAGCCGGAUGCAGCAAUGCGGCGGGUAUGAAGAAGGCUUUCGGGUUGUAAAGUACUUUCAGCGGGGAGGCGUUACCCGCAGAAGAAGCACCGGCUAACUACGUGCCAGCAGCCGCGGUAAUAC
rnacentral:rRNA from 1 species